rnacentral:rRNA from 1 species
GACGAACGCUGGCGGCGUGCUUAACACAUGCAAGUCGAACGGUGAAGGGACUGGUUUUGCUGGUCCUGGAUGGGUGGCGAACGGGUGAGUAACACGUGAGUAACCUGCCCCCUUCUUCUGGAUAACCGCAUGAAAGUGUGGCUAAUACGGGAUAUUCUGGGUCUGUCGCAUGGUGGGCCUGGGAAAGAUUGCGCCUUUUUUGGUGUUUUUGGUGGGGGUUGGGCUCGCGGCCUAUCAGCUUGUUGGUGGGGUGAUGGCCUACCAAGGCGGUGACGGGUAGCCGGCCUGAGAGGGUGGACGGUCACACUGGGACUGAGACACGGCCCAGACUCCUACGGGAGGCAGCAGUGGGGAAUAUUGCACAAUGGGCGCAAGCCUGAUGCAGCGACGCCGCGUGAGGGAUGGAGGCCUUCGGGUUGUGAACCUCUUUCGCCAGUGAAGCAGGCCUGCCUCUUUUUGUGGGUGGGUUGACGGUAGCUGGAUAAGAAGCGCCGGCUAACUACGUG